rnacentral:rRNA from 1 species
UACGUAGGUGGCAAGCGUUGUCCGGAUUUAUUGGGUUUAAAGGGUGCGUAGGCGGCCCUGUAAGUCAGUGCUGAAAUACCCCCGGUACUUACGGUGGGGGGUGCAUUGAUACUGCAGGGCUUGAGUACAGAUGAGGUAGGCGGAAUUGACGGUGUAGCGGUGAAAUGCAUAGAUAUCGUCAAGAACACCGAUAGCGAAGGCAGCUUACUGGGCUGUAACUGACGCUGAUGCACGAAAGUGUGGGGAUCAAACAGG